rnacentral:rRNA from 1 species
AUUGAACGCUGGCGGCAGGCCUAACACAUGCAAGUCGAACGAGUGGCGGACGGGUGAGUAAUGUCUGGGAAAAUGCCUGAUGGAGGGGGAUAACUACUGGAAACGGUAGCUAAUACCGCAUACCAUCAGAUGGGCCCAGAUGGGAUUAGCUAGUUGGUGGGGUAACGGCUAACCAAGGCGACGAUCCAUAGCUGGUCUGAGAGGAUGACCAGCAACACUGGAACUGAGAAACGGCCCAGACUCCGACGGGAGGCAGCAGUGGGGAAUAUUGAACAAUGGGCGAAAUCCUGAUGCAGCCAUGCCGCGUGUAUGAUGAAGGCCUUCGGGUUGUAAAGUACUUUCAGCGGGGAGGCGGUACCCGCAGAAGAAGCACCGGCUAACUCCGUGCCAGCAGCCGCGGUAAUUC